rnacentral:rRNA from 1 species
UACGUAGGGUGCAAGCGUUGUCCGGAAUCAUUGGGCGUAAAGCGCGUGUAGGCGGUCCAGUAAGUCCGCUGUGAAAGCCCAGGGCUCAACCCUGGGAUGCCGGUGGAUACUGUUGGGCUCGAGUCCGGAAGAGGCGAGUGGAAUUCCCGGUGUAGCGGUGAAAUGCGCAGAUAUCGGGAGGAACACCAAUGGCGAAGGCAGCUCGCUGGGACGUGACUGACGCUGAGACGCGAAAGCGUGGGGAGCAAACAGG